UUUUUUUUUUUUUUUUUUUUUUUUUGGUGCAGGCUGUGUGACUGUCCACUACUACGAAACAAUUCUUUUGAAAAGCAAUCAGCACUUGAAGGUAGCUUUCAGAGUUAGAGGGUGGACAGGAAGAACCAGAAGCCAAAACCAAGGCCAAAUCUGAGGUGAAACAACUUAGCCAUGCCAGGCUAAGUUGGUCUCAGAGAGACACAGCCUGUUCCCCUUGGAGCAGCACCCAGUUGAGCCAGUGGAUAAAACUGUUACACAGAACACCUGAGUACCUGCACCCCAUUAGUUUUUCCUCUGUGAAUUGUGGAAGAUCUUUUUUCUCAUCUGGGCCAAGAGAAAAAAAAAUUGCAAUCAAAUGUUUAGCAGCUGUAACUUCACUGUGCAGUGUGAAGGUGGGUCCUGUCCUGCAUGGUGUGAAAUGAACUGGUGCGACUCACCUAUAAGCACCACCUGAUGAAAUACUGAUGGAAAGGAAGAGUAAACUCAGCAGCACAUCUGAGAGUGGAAAUAAUUUAGCCCACACAUAGUAAAUGUUAUUUCCAUUGCUUUUGGGACUGUAAAUCUUACCUUCUCAAUUAGUGAUUACACUGGAAAACCACAAGCAAACCCAGACAUAAAUUACGUGAAAUUAAAAGGACCUUUUGCCUUUCUGUUUCAGUAAAUGUUUUGGAUCAGUAAAGCCAACUAGAAAAAAACUUUUUGACAGAAACUGGGAAAAAUUCCUUCUUGGAAAUGUGGUAGUCCCUGUGAUAAACAGAGGUAUGCUUAGAAAGGGUGUCCCAGGGAUUUCUACUGAUGUGCAAAUUGGGACAUUUGUGUCUUAACAAGAAAAGCAGACAGAAUAAAAUUGCUGGUUUGUUUAUUUAGAGCUAAGUGGAAAGAAAAAAUUAAAAUGAAGGUGAAUAGCACCCAGUGAUGACAGAAGCAAUUUGCCAAGUGUGAUAAAUAUGCCAAAGUUACUAGACACAAUGGCAGAACUCCACAAAGACUGAUGACAAACAGCUUCUUCAGAGCUGGUACAGCACUUAAGGCUCCCAGACUGACAGGAAAAUGGGGGGAAAAGAAAUUAAAGAAACUUUCACAUUGAGUUUCAGUUAAUUAAAAGCAGAAAUUUGGGAGAGGAAACAGUCUUACCUUUUGAAAUGUCACUUGCCCCUCUUUAGAUUAUAUUAUGCACAAAGGCUGAAUAAAUAUUCUUUUGGCACUUAGCGCCAAAUAACAACUCAACUCCACAAAUAGUCUCAGUGCCAUUAUAUGUGCCUUAGAAAAAGUUGAAUACAUGUGUUUAUUUUUUUUUCUCCAAUAUCAGCAAUGAAAGUAAAACAAGAACAUUAAGCAUUUGUGGUCUAUUCCUCUGGAGAUGAGAAAAAAAAAAAGGAAAAAAAACCAAACAAAAAAAAGCAGAUCACACUUCUGUGAUUGUAAGAUUGCUAGAAGGAGCUGACUGUAAAAAGGAACCUAAAGAUCUGGCAAUUUAUAAGAAGUGACCACUUCCCCUUUAGGGGCCGUCAUCAUAUUCUGAUUUACUGAGACUAUAUCAGACUAGAAAUAAGCCCUCUGCAGUACUUCCUCUCUUUGUUAGAAUCACCAGUAACACAAUAGUGAUUUUCAGUUUCCAUUCUACCAGCCAUUUGUAACUCAGUGUUUGCAAAUGCUUCAUAAGCCAGAAAUUCCAGGAAUUACCUCAGAAUCUAUUUGCAUUACCCUUUGUAUCAUACACCAUUGUUUCCAUAUUUCACCCUCUUAAAAAUAAUGCUGGGCACAAUCCAACAAUUUGCUUCUAUCAUAUGAAUGCUAAUAAAGACUUUAUUAGAGAAACAGAUCAUGUGUGUAGUGAUUGCUGAUUACUGACUCUUAGGGGAAAGUUUGCCUGAAGUUUUAAGAACUUGACUGUAAAUUCUUGGAGGCCCUGAUCUAGGAAAACAUUCCUGUAUUGAAACAAUUCCCAUAAUUUUGAUGUGUGUUAGUUAAGCAUUUGCUGUUAAGUUGGGGGGUUUUUUUGUUUUGUUUUGUUUUUUUUUAAUUUAAGUUUUCCCAUCUGCCUAAAAGAUUUGCUGUUGUUCAUCCUCCAGAGCACCUUGGUUUAAGAGAAUCAGUUGCUUGAGUCUGCCCUGGCACCCAGCUCUGAGAUCCAAAUGUUCCUCUGAACACACAAACAGCUGUGGCAAGGCAUUAUUCUGGGCUUAGCAAGUGCACUGCCCAUGAAGCUGAUGUAGAUGCUCAAAAACUGUCAGGAAAGCCAUCAACUUCUAAUAAAUAGUUCUAGCAAGAGAAAGAUUCCUGUGACUCUCUCCUUUUAGCUUAAAGCCCAGUUUCAGCAGUGGGGACAGAGAAUAUAAUUCUUCCAAAGAAAGAUUUUUCUGGGAUGCAUAAGUGUGUAGGUUGAAAUUCCUCAACUAAAAAAUUACUGAAUCCCAGGAUUUCCAUUUCAUCAGUACCCUAAGCAUUACUGUACUCAGAGUCAUAUUGCCUGUACUCACCCCACCCUCAAACACACAGGAAGAAAAAAGCAAGGCCAGAUGAUUCCCUCAAAAAACACAACAUAGGGCCUUAGGUUUGACAGAGAAGCUCCAGCUGUGGAUCACAACUGGAAAAGUCCUUCUCGUCCAGCCCAGAGAGAGGGAGGCAAGCACAAGGAAAGGGUUCACAGCUCAUUCUUUUCUGCAUGGUUUCUCACUGCAGACCAUGCCACAGACCCUCCUACAGCACUGGCUGAGCAGGUUUUGUUAAUUAAUCACUGUGCUAAGGAGGGAACAUCCCUGCUCCCCACUUAGGGGGUGCUGACAGCUGCUGCCUCUCAUCAUCACAUGGGGACAAAGAUGGCUCUCAGUGUUAGCUUUUCUCACGUAACUUUCUUCAGCCUACAAACUCUCUCUUGACAGGGUAACUACCACAGCCUGGCUCUGUUCCUGGUCAUCCUCAAUCACUUCCAUAAUAAGCAUGAUUUUUUAAUUUUAAUUUUUUUAAUAAUGUGAGAGGAACUACAAAGUCAUUAAAAGGUAUAGCUUCCUGGCACAAAUUUAAUUAUCAAUUCCAUCAUCUGAGACCACAUCUCCUGUGAUUGCAGUGUCACAACAGAAAUGCUUCUGCACUCACAUAUGAGGUCAUGCAGAACUCGAAAUACCUUAUCUCUCAUUUUACUUGCUCUAGUUUCACAAAAUUCAGACUAUCCAAUCACUGCCUCAACCAGUUUGUUUUGAUAUAACCUUUUUUGUUAUUGUCUCUUAACUCUGCUGUCCAUCUUGUUUUUAUAGCAUACAUCUUCUUGACAUUUGUUUUUUGUUGUUCUUUCUGAAUAAGUUCCAUACAGUCUUACUUGAUUUUCAAAUUAAAGUUGAUCUGCCAGCCCUGAAAACUAUUAAAUUUCAAUUUAAAAUGUGGCUAUUUAUUUACUGUGGUUAUCAACAUAAAAUGUUUUACAUGUGUAUUUAUUAAAAACUGGCAAAUAAAGGUAUGCUUUUUAACAAUUCUGAAAGUUCAGUAUUUUCAGAUUUUUUUCCUUGCAUUAUUUUAGUGGCAGAACAAUUAUUAACUCCCAGCCCAGUAUUACAUCAUCUCUGGAGGACAGAAAAAAUAGGAGAUGCAAACUUAAACACACACACACACACACACACACACACACACACACAUGCAUUUCAUAUUCCCAUCGCAGAACGUUUACAUAUGAUCUUUAAGCAAAAUAGUCUACCACUGUGGACAAGUGACAGCAACACCAAGAACACAGUAAAAUGAAUAAAAUGUGGACACAAGCAACACAGGGAUCUGCCUUAGAAUAUAGACAGGGAAGGAGAUUAAAAAUUAUUAUUAUUGGUGGACGUUUCAUUGUAGUGAAUUCAAGUUUUACAGAAUUAAAAUGUGCUACCUGUACUCAAUCUGAGCAAUUCCUAAGGCUGGUUCUGCUCUUGGGAAAGGGGAAAGAUCCAAGUAACUUCCUUCCUCUUGCUGGACUUUUACAUUCAUUAAGCUCAGGUGUUCUUCCCACAGAGAUGAGCAUGAAGCAAUACAGGUAAGCACAGCUGUGAAAACACAAACAACCCUGAGAAACGUCUGCUCCUGCUGCACCACUGGGAUCAUCGGUGUGAGCCCCAGCAUGGGGUCUCAGUAACUUUUAGAGCUGGUACCCUUCUGCAAGUGGGGGUUUGGACAAAGUGGACCCUUGAUCAUGUUCUUGGAAGUCCAAGUGUGUUGUGUAAGCAAGUAUCUGUGAGAGCAGCAAAUUAGAAAAAAAAAAAAAAAAAAAAGCAGGGAGUGAGAGUUGUGCAUGUGAGUUACCUAGAGCAGUAACUGGAAAUAAAAAGCUCAAAUGUGGAGUCAGUGGUCUUUUGGUAAGAAGGGAGUCACACCUCAGGCACAUCUCUACUUCCUACUAAAGACACCUGGAUACAACAUUUUUUUCUCAAUUUUUUUAUUUGUCAUUAAAGUGGCCUCACGACACAUAUGCAGCCCUUUUCACCUCUUCCGGUGCUUAUGCUCAAGAAGAACAGUUUGAAGUCUGUCACAACCCAGACGAAGAUGAUUUUUGUCAUUCACGUUGGAAAUAAGUACAUGCUACAUUGGCAGUAUUUCUGCUGUGCUUUGUCUAGAUAUAAAUCUGGCCUUGGGAAAGCCUAGAGAACUUCAGAAAUAUCUUGGAUCUAUCUGGAGACCAAACAAAAAAAGGACGAGUGAUUUAUAUCUGGUUAAUUUGUAGAGCACCUUUCACCUUUGGCUGAAUUUUCAAAACACAUGCUUGUGGUUUUUGCUUGAGGAAUCUAGUGAGCCUGGUAUUUCUUCUGCUAACACAAACCAAUAGUGAAGACACAUAAGAUUACAGGCCAGGCUCCAUGCUUUUAGAGUUUCCAAUUACUUUUUCCUGAUCUCUCUGUGCUAUAAUGGUCUCUUAGAGAGUACGGCAGCAGGGAGUAAGGAUACCCAAGGGAAUGAGGUUCACUUGAACUUGACUUGUAUGUCUGAAGAGCAGGUAUUGAGCUGAUAUUCUUACCAUAGAUUGCACUAUUUUCUUCUCAAGUGCCUCUCUCCAGCUGUAACAGAGCCCUUCUCUUGCUGACUUCUCCUCUGCCCACUUCCCUGAGCUUCUGUUCCAAGCGAGAUUGAAAGAGGAAGUGUUGAAACAGGAGUGCACUUUUCUUACAGUAUUUCUGGAUGAACCGGAAGGAGCAAACACUGGAAAUCUGUCCUGUUUUGCACUCUGUAAACAACUUCUACAGCAACAUAGUUGGGACCAGACAAGUUACGAAUAUGAGCAUAAACUUGCAGACAUCAAGGGCUCCAUGAUUUAUACACACAUUUUACCUCUGUUUCUCAAUUUUAUAAACAAUAUUUGUCUUCUGAAUUAAAAAUAUUAAAAGGGAAUAAAUCACAAUCUAAAAUCACAUCUUUCUUUUUUUUAAAAAAGGAGGAAAAAGACCUGUCCGUUUUUUCCUCCUAAAACAUAUUUUGACACCCCUGAACUCAGACCUAAAAAUUGUGCACCUUUUUUUUUAAGUUUUGGUGCAAAUAAGCAAAGUUGGGUUCUUGCCGAGGCACAAGAGCACGGUGUAAAGAGUUACAAACUCCAAUCUUUUAUUUAUAACAUGCUCUUAUAUCUGAGUUAUGUUUCUUUUCCAGCAGUGCCGUAUCACUGAUCACCAAAUCAUGAAGUCAUAGAACACGCUGAAUUGGAAGGGACCUAGAGGGAUCAUUGAAGUUCAACUCCUGGCACUGUACAGGAAAUGCCAAGAGUCACACCACAUGCCUGAGAGCAUUGUCCAAACACCUCUUGACCUCUGUCAGGCUGGCGCUGUGACCACUUCCCUGGGGAGCCUGUUCCAGUGCCCAAACACUCCCUGGGUGAAGAAGCUUUCCUAUACCCAACCUAAACCUCCCCUGACACAACUUCAGGCCAUUCCCCUGGGUCCUGUCCCUGGUCACCAGAAGAAGAGCUCAGUGCCUGCCCCUUGUGUUCCCCUCAGGAGGAAGCUGUAACUGCAGUGAGGUCUCCCCUCAGUCUCCUCUUCUCCAGGCUGAACAGAUCAAGUGACCUCAUCUGCUCCUCAUAUGGCUACCCCUCAAGGCCCAUUCACCAUCUUUGUGGCCUUCCUCUCUAUUAAUUAUAUAUCUUGCUUAUGUUGUGGCACCCAAACCUAGAGACAUCACUCGAGGUGAGGCCGCCCCAGCUCAGAGCAGAGGGACAAUCCCCUCCCUUGCAUGGCUGGUGAUGCUGUGCCUGAUGCACCCCAGGACAGGCUUGGCUCUCCUGGCUGCCAGGGCACUGCUGGCUCAUGUGCAACUCACCAGGACCCCCAGGUCCCUUUCCCUGGCACUGCUGUCCUGCCUCUCAUUCCUCAGACUGUCUGUACAUCCAGGGUUGCCCCAUGCUAGGUGCAGAAUCCAGAACUCGUCGUUUGUAAGCGUCAUUGCCCAGCCUUCUAAUUUGUUGGGGUCUCUCUGCAGGGCCUCUCUGCCUUUGAGGGAGUAAUUGGCUCCUCCCAAAUUAGUGUCUUUGGCAAACUUACCUUCCAGUCCUGCAUCCAAGUCCUUUAUGAAGAUGUUGAAGGGCUCUGGAUCUAAAAUGGAGCCCUAUGGAACCCCGCUAGUGACCAGUCACUAUUCUGAUUUAACCACAUUUACUGUAACUCUUGGCACCCUACCUGUGAGCUAGUUGAUCACCCAUUGCAUGAUAUAUUUUUCCAGCUUCAUGCUGGCUCAAUGUUUUGUCCAUGUUUUUGCAGUCUCAUAUCUUCAAUAUUCCCUGCUUUACUGCCAUUGUAUGAAAAAAUUGCUCAUAUCAGGCCACAUUUGCUUUGACCCUGUGUUACGUUUAUCUCUCAUGAAACCUAUUUUUGUGACUGAUGUUAAUACCUACAUGUUCUUUAUCCAGUUAGGAAAAUAGUUUCCUUAGCAGUUCCAUAGAGUUGUGCCACACUUUCUUCACAAGCCAUGGCAGCUUUUGUCCUGCAGUCCAGUAUUUACAAUACAAACUUAAUUGUCUUUAUUAGCCAUUAUAUUUUUCUUAACAAAUUAACAUUUGAAAGGCUUGGUAAUUCUAUUUACAGGGCCUGUUGUGGGAAAAACAACCUCCAACAAAUGACUGAAUUCCUCAAGCUCAAUGCAAUCAUAAUUGCUUGAUACGAGGUACAGAUUGCCUUUGUGUUUUCCUAAAUGGGAUUAAUGCUUGGAGGAUUCAGUAACUCCUCAUUAGCAGGCAAAAUGAUUGAGUGCAACUGACUUCCAAAGAAUGGCUUUGGUCAGAUUAUGAGUGUGCCAGAGAAACAUACACCCUAAAUGACUGAAAUAGUCCUUUCAGAUUUCCCUUCUGUGCAGACCAUAGAUUUGAAGGGAUAAUAGACUCUCAGCAAGCAUAAUUGCAGAGUAUUUUCUUACCAUCUCUGGCUAAGUAACUGUGUGGGCUAUGCAGAAAGGCAAAAUUUGAAUUUCAUUUCCUGUCACUGCAGAAGAAAACUGAAAUAUUGUGGCAAUUAUCACAAAAGAGAGAUCCUAGAGGCAGACAUGCUUUUGUGGCCCGAGUAGACCUGUUCCCCACAUAAUAGCAACAGCCUGUAAUGUGUUUUAGAAUUGCUAUGGAAGGAAACAAAAUAAAAAAAAUCAUUUGGCACUU
ensembl:lncRNA